CACGUAGGGUGCGAGCGUUGUCCGGAAUUAUUGGGCGUAAAGAGCUCGUAGGCGGUGUGUCGCGUCGGUCGUGAAAACUUGGGGCUUAACCCUGAGCUUGCGGUCGAUACGGGCAUCACUGGAGUUCGGCAGGGGAGACUGGAAUUCCUGGUGUAGCGGUGAAAUGCGCAGAUAUCAGGAGGAACACCGGUGGCGAAGGCGGGUCUCUGGGCCGAUACUGACGCUGAGGAGCGAAAGCGUGGGGAGCGAACAGG
rnacentral:rRNA from 1 species